rnacentral:rRNA from 1 species
GUAGGUGGCAAGCGUUGUCCGGAAUUAUUGGGCGUAAAGCGCGCGCAGGCGGUCCUUUAAGUCUGAUGUGAAAGCCCACGGGCUCAACCGUGGAGGGUCAUUGGAAACUGGGGGACUUGAGUACAGAAGAGGAAAGCGGAAUUCCAAGUGUAGCGGUGAAAUGCAUAGAGAUUUGGAGGAACACCAGUGGCGAAGGCGGCUUUCUGGUCUGUAACUGACGCUGAGGCGCGAAAGCGUGGGGAGCAAACAGGAUUAGAUACCCUGGUAGUCCACGCCGUAAACGAUGAGUGCUAAGUGUUAGGGGGUUUCCGCCCCUUAGUGCUGCAGCUAACGCAUUAAGCACUCCGCCUGGGGAGUACGGCCGCAAAGGCUG